GUGAGUGUGGGGUAGUGGCUUGAGUGCUGAACUACAACUCUGGAGACCAAGGUUCAAAUCCUUGGAAACACA